rnacentral:misc_RNA from 1 species
UUCACCAGCACAAACAAAAAUAAAAAGCAUAGACGCAAAGUAAAAGAUAAUGAUAAUGUAAAACCUUAUCUCAUUAAGAGAUCAAAAUAUUUUCUGUUAAAAGUUGAAAUUCCUUACUAACCUGACGAAGCGCUUUAACUCAAUUUCUAUAUGUGUAGAGCACAUAACCCAUUUCCUUCCCCUCUUGUGUAAGUGUGUUGUGUGAACAAUUUCAGCAGCAUAAUGAUGAUACAAUUUCUUAACACAUACCAAUUAGUUAAUAUCUUAAGUGUUUUCAGAUAAAUAAAACCUAAAUGCAACCACAUUACCGUACUCUGCCAAAUUCAUUUUGGAACGUUAAAAGUAGUAAAAUGAACACUUUUCAAGUAGUUAAGAUACUACUUGAGGUAGUUUGAUUUCAUGGUGGG